UCUAGCACAUUUGGCUUUUCCCCUUCUCUAAUUGCACUCUGCGUCAGACCUCAGGGCUGGCCCUGCCCAUUUGCUCACUUGUCUCUUUGCCCAACAGCAAGCCUUCUUCAGGACUGGAAAGCUUUCACUCCCAUCCUAGCAAGCACAGAGUCUCGCAAUACUAAAAUUAGAGGAAACACUGUCCUAAACAUCAGUGAGACUAGAGAUGAAUCCCCAGCAAGCAGGAUGUAGUGGAUUUCAGCAGAGGAGGCAUUACAGUACAGGAUGUACCUAAGGAUACUCUGGGAGAAACGGAGACAGCCACGCUCCUGGUCGUUCAGUGACCCAGACGGAGACCUGGCCAAGAAGUUUCACAGAACUUCACUCGUACAAAAGCAGUAGAAAUGGGACGCCCAUGAUGGGGACCUGCUUCAAAUAUGCUUUUUA